ensembl:Mt_tRNA
CGCUAAGUAGCUAAAGAGGCCCUAGCGUUAGCCUUUUAAGCUAAAGAAUGGUGAAUGCCAACCACCCUCAGCGA